rnacentral:rRNA from 1 species
CUCGGAAGCUAAGCAGGGUCGGGCCUGGUUAGUACUCUUGGAUGGGAGACCACCUGGGAAUCCCGGGUGCUCGAGG